CCUACGGGUGGCAGCAGUGAGGAAUAUUGGUCAAUGGGCGCGAGCCUGAACCAGCAAAGUAGCGUGAAGGAUGACUGCCCUACGGGUUGUAAACUUCUUUUAUAAAGGAAUAAAGUGAGGCACGUGUGACUUUUUGUAUGUACUUUAUGAAUAAGGAUCGGCGAACUCCGUGCAAGCAGCCGCGGUAAUACGGAGGAGCCGAGCGUUAUCAGGAUUGAUGGGGUUUAAAGGGAGCGUAGAGGGGUGGUUAAGUCAGUUGUGAAAGUUUGCGGCUCAACCGUAAAAUUGCAAUUGAUACUGGCAGUCUUGAGUACAGUUGAGGUAGGCGGAAUUCGUGGUGUAGCGGUGAAAUGCUUAGAUAUCACGAAGAACUCCGAUUGCGAAGGCAGCUUACUAAACUGCCACUGACAUUGAUGCUCGAAAGUGUGGGUAUCAAACAGGAUUAGAUACCCUGGUAGUC
rnacentral:rRNA from 1 species